rnacentral:lncRNA from 1 species
AUGGUAGAAGAUCUAUGGACUGAAUAUUUAUGAAGAGAUUUAGAUUUAGAUCUCAUCUAAUCAGUCAUUAUAUGACUAAUCUAAUUGGUAUGAGCUAAAUCAAACCAUCAAGCAACCUUAUUCAAGACUUGAUCUUUCAAAUUGGCUAGGUAAAUGAAGAUCGAUGGGGGUUCCCCCAUUGCUUUCCUUAGACAUCAAUAAAUUGGCC